rnacentral:lncRNA from 1 species
ACGACUUUGUUCAAAAUAAAUAAAAUGUACAAAUUGAGUGCAAAUUUGAAAUAAAAAUAACACAAGCAAAUUAAAGAUCCAAAUCCUAAUGGAUUUACUUAUGGGGUGUUCAUACAUAAGAAAACAAAACAAAUGUUCGAUAAUCAGUAAACAUGAAAGGUACAAAUGAAAAUGUACAAUUCAUGUAAGGAAGGCAUAAAGUUGCAAGCUAAAAAUAUCUUGAAAAUUCAUUCAACCAUAUCUACCAGUACCACCACCAUUGGCAACAUGCUGCUUAUGUCCCUCUUUAUCGUACCUAUCAUAUAUCCUCCUAUUUUCACCAUCCAAU